CGCCUGGGGAGUACGGCCGCAAGGCUAAAACUCAAAGGAAUUGACGGGGGCCCGCACCAGCGGCGGAGCAUGUUGCUUAAUUCGACGCAACGCGAAGAACCUUACCAAGGUUUGACAUCACCCGUGGACUCGCAGAGAUGUGAGGUCAUUUAGUUGGCGGGUGACAGGUGGUGCAUGGCAGUCGUCAGCUCGUGUCGUGAGAUGUUGGGUUAAGUCCCGCAACGAGCGCAACCCUUGUUCCAUGUUGCCAGCACGUAAUGGUGGGGACUCAUGGGAGACUGCCGGGGUCAACUCGGAGGAAGGUGGGGAUGACGUCAAGUCAUCAUGCCCCUUAUGUCUUGGGCUGCAAACAUGCUACAAUGGCCGGUACAAUGGGCGUGCGAUACCGUAAGGUGGAGCGAAUCCCUAAAAGCCGGUCUCAGUUCGGAUUGGGGUCUGCAACUCGACCCCAUGAAGGUGGAGUCGCUAGUAAUCGCGGAUCAGCAACGCCGCGGUGAAUACGUUCCCGGGCCUUGUACACACCGCCCGUCACGUCAUGAA
rnacentral:rRNA from 1 species